UACAGAGGGGGCAAGCGUUGUUCGGAAUUACUGGGCGUAAAGGGCGCGUAGGCGGCCUUCUAAGUCGAACGUGAAAUCCCUGGGCUCAACCCAGGAACUGCGUCCGAUACUGAAAGGCUUGAAUCCGGGAGAGGGAUGCGGAAUUCCAGGUGUAGCGGUGAAAUGCGUAGAUAUCAGGAGGAACACCAAUGGCGAAGGCAGCUCGCUGGGACGUGACUGACGCUGAGACGCGAAAGCGUGGGGAGCAAACAGG
rnacentral:rRNA from 1 species